CUCCCUAACCCUCUCAUUCUCUCGUCUCUCUCUUUCUCUCAUCUCUCUCACCUCCUCAGCCAAAAACCCACCAAAUUAACACAAGAUAUACAUGGGUUAACCUCCAAUCUAUCUCCUGCAUGUGAUUCAAGUCUUAAAUUUCGUAGGUCCAGCUCGGGAAAGGAGGAACGGGUUGAUUUUGAAGUUUUCGGAGUCUAGAGCUUGGACAAUCUUGGGGGUUUGCUCUCCAAACUGAAGGCAGAGAUUUCUUACUCACUUUAUGCGUUUAAAUGAUGUUUAUGUGCCUGGAUCAGGCUUAUUUUUGUUGAUUGGGCAGGUUUUGAGAUCUGCUGCAGUUUCUAUUUUCUGCUCGUACCUGGUUGCGAGUGGCGCGAGCCGGUCCCCCUUUCGCGCGCGCGAGUGUGCCCCCUUGUAGUUGUUCGAUCUAGUUUGCUGAGUUAGGAUCUGGUGUUGAUCAUUGUGGAGAUCGGUUCAAAAUCCAAAAGCAGUGGAAGUCGCCUGCAGAACCCAGUUCUCUACCGGUACAAAACAAAGAAAUUGGCAUAGCGUGCAUAUCGUGCUUGUUGAUCAUGUCUUUCAAGGUAUAAAAGAGGCAAUUUAUUGCAUUUGAUUCGAAAGAAGUAUUUUGGAAAGACAUUCGUUGUAACUAUACAUAAUAUCAUUUUAUUCAGACAUUGGUAUUUUGAUAACUUGGAGCUGUGAGCCAAAAAUGUAAUAUCUGGAUUUGAUUUGAGAACAGGGGAAGGAAUGAAUUUUGGAUAUUAUCGGUAUUACAGCGAGAACUUUGUUUAUAAAA